rnacentral:rRNA from 1 species
AAAUGAAUAGACGGGGACCCGCACAAGCAGCGGAGCAUGUGGUUUAAUUCGAAGCAACGCGAAAAACCUUACCAAGACUUGACAUAUAUGUGACCACUAUAGAGAUAUAGUUUUCCUUCGGGACACUUAUACAGGUGGUGCAUGGUUGUCGUCAGCUCGUGUCGUGAGAUGUUGGGUUAAGUCCCGCAACGAGCGCAACCCCUAUGAUUAAUUGCCAAUAUUAAGUUAGGAACUUUAGUCAGACUGCCGUGGAUAACACGGAGGAAGGCGGGGAUGACGUCAAAUCAUCAUGCCCCUUACGUCUUGGGCUACACACGUGCUACAAUGGCUAUUACAAAGAGCAGCGAAACGGUAACGUCAAGCGAAUCUCAUAAAGAUAGUCUCAGUUCGGAUUGUGGGCUGCAACCCGCCCACAUGAAGUCGGAGUUGCUAGUAAUCCCGAAUCAGCAUGUCGGGGUGAAUGCGUUCCCGGGUCUUGUACACACCGCCCGU